rnacentral:rRNA from 1 species
GAUGAACGCUAGCGGGAGGCCUAACACAUGCAAGCCGAGCGGUAUUUGUUCUUCGGAACAGAGAGAGCGGCGCACGGGUGCGGAACACGUGUGCAACCUGCCUUUAUCUGGGGGAUAGCCUUUCGAAAGGAAGAUUAAUACCCCAUAAUAUAUUGAGUGGCAUCAUUUGAUAUUGAAAACUCCGGUGGAUAGAGAUGGGCACGCGCAAGAUUAGAUAGUUGGUGAGGUAACGGCUCACCAAGUCAAUGAUCUUUAGGGGGCCUGAGAGGGUGAUCCCCCAAACCGGUAAUGGGGAACGGACCAGGAUCCUACGGGAAGCAGCAGUGAGGGAUAAUGGACAAUGGGGUAGCGGCUGGUCCAGCCAUCCCGCGGGAAGGAAGGCGGCCCUAUGGGUUGUAAACUUCUUUUGGAUAGGGAUAAACCUACUCUCGUGAGGGGAGCUGAAGGUACUAUACGAAUAAGCACCGGCUAACUCCGUG